AUUGAACGCUGGCGGCAGGCCUAACACAUGCAAGUCGAGCGGUGACACAGGGAGCUUGCUCCUGGGUGACGAGCGGCGGACGGGUGAGUAAUGUCUGGGAAACUGCCUGAUGGAGGGGGAUAACUACUGGAAACGGUAGCUAAUACCGCAUAACGUCGCAAGACCAAAGAGGGGGACCUUCGGGCCUCUUGCCAUCAGAUGUGCCCAGAUGGGAUUAGCUAGUAGGUGGGGUAACGGCUUACCUAGGCGACGAUCCCUAGCUGGUCUGAGAGGAUGACCAGCCACACUGGAACUGAGACACGGUCCAGACUCCUACGGGAGGCAGCAGUGGGGAAUAUUGCACAAUGGGCGCAAGCCUGAUGCAGCCAUGCCGCGUGUAUGAAGAAGGCCUUCGGGUUGUAAAGUACUUUCAGCGGGGAGGAAGGCGAUAAGGUUAAUAACCUUGUCGAUUGACGUUACCCGCAGAAGAAGCACCGGCUAACUCCGUGCCAGCAGCCGCCGCGG
rnacentral:rRNA from 1 species